UACGUAGGGGGCAAGCGUUGUCCGGAAUCAUUGGGCGUAAAGAGCGUGUAGGCGGCCUGGUAAGUCCGCUGUGAAAGUCCAGGGCUCAACCCUGGAAUGCCGGUGGAAACUGUCAGGCUCGAGUCCGGAAGAGGCGAGUGGAAUUCCUGGUGUAGCGGUGAAAUGCGUAGAUAUCUGGAGGAACACCGGUGGCGAAGGCGGCAUCCUGGACCGAAACUGACACUGAGGCGCGAAAGCCAGGGGAGCAAACGGG
rnacentral:rRNA from 1 species